CGUGUGGAGUGACGGUACCGACUACAGAAGAAGCACCGGCGUAACUACGUGCCAGCAGCCGCGGUAAUACGUAGGGUGCGAGCGUUAAUCGGAAUUACUGGGCGUAAAGCGUGCGCAGGCGGUGAUGUAAGACAGAUGUGAAAUCCCCGGGCUCAACCUGGGAACUGCGUUUGUGACUGCAUCACUCGAGUACGGCAGAGGGAGGUGGAAUUCCGCGUGUAGCAGUGAAAUGCGUAGAUAUGCGGAGGAACACCGAUGGCGAAGGCAGCCUCCUGGGCCAGUACUGACGCUCAUGCACGAAAGCGUGGGGAGCAAACAGGAUUAGAUACCCUGGUAGUCCACGCCCUAAACGAUGUCAACUAGUUGUUCGGUGAGGAGACUCAUUGAGUAACGCAGCUAACGCGUGAAGUUGACCGCCUGGGGAGUACGGCCGCAAGGUUAAAACUCAAAGGAAUUGACGGG
rnacentral:rRNA from 1 species